rnacentral:sRNA from 3 species
UCUAACCUAAGCAACGUAAACCCUACCUUCUUUUACGUCCUUGCGACCCUGUAGCCGCUCCAGUGUGAAUAAGUAUUAUCAAAAACAC